rnacentral:rRNA from 1 species
UACGGAGGGUGCAAGCGUUGCUCGGAAUUAUUGGGCGUAAAGAGCUCGUAGGCGGUCUGUCACGUCGGCUGUGAAAUCCCGAGGCUCAACCUCGGGUCUGCAGUCGAUACGGGCAAACUAGAGUAUUGCAGGGGAGACUGGAAUUCCUGGUGUAGCGGUGAAAUGCGCAGAUAUCAGGAGGAACACCGGUGGCGAAGGCGGGUCUCUGGGCAAUAACUGACGCUGAGGAGCGAAAGCGUGGGGAGCGAACAGG